rnacentral:tRNA from 1 species
AGCUCAGUCAUUAGAGCGGUUGCCUCACAAGCAUAAGGAUCUGAGUUCAAUCCUCAG